UGAGUAACCUGCCCUUAACUCUGGGAUAAGCCUGGGAAACUGGGUCUAAUACCGGAUAUGACUCCUCAUCGCAUGGUGGGGGGUGGAAAGCUUUUUGUGGUUUUGGAUGGACUCGCGGCCUAUCAGCUUGUUGGUGAGGUAAUGGCUCACCAAGGCGACGACGGGUAGCCGGCCUGAGAGGGUGACCGGCCACACUGGGACUGAGACACGGCCAGACUCCUACGGGAGGCAG
rnacentral:rRNA from 1 species